rnacentral:rRNA from 1 species
GACAGAGGGGGCAAGCGUUGCUCGGAAUCACUGGGCGUAAAGGGCGCGUAGGCGGGACGCCAAGUCGGUCGUGAAAUCUCCGGGCUCAACCCGGAGGAGUCGGCCGAAACUGGUGUUCUUGAGGGAGGCAGAGGAGUCUGGAAUUCCCGGUGUAGCGGUGAAAUGCGCAGAUAUCGGGAGGAACACCUGAGGCGAAGGCGGGCUACUGGGCUGAUACUGACGCUGAGGCGCGAAAGCUAGGGGAGCAAACGGG